rnacentral:rRNA from 1 species
UACACACGUGCUACAAUGGGCGGUUACAAAGGGUACGCGAACCCGCGAGGGGGAGCCAAUCCCAAAAAGCCGCUCUCAGUUCGGAUUGCAGGCUGCAACUCGCCUGCAUGAAGCCGGAAUCGCUAGUAAUCGCAGGUCAGCAUACUGCGGUCGAAUACGUUCCCGGGCCUU